UUUCCGUAGGUGAACCUGCGGAAGGAUCAUUACAGUAGUCGCCCGGGUUGCCGCAAGGCCUCCCGGGUAACCUACCACCCUUUGUUUAUUACACUUUGUUGCUUUGGCAGGCCUGCCCUCGGGCUGCUGGCUCCGGCCGGCGAGCGCUUGCCAGAGGACCUAAACUCUGUUUGUCUAUACUGUCUGAGUACUAUAUGAUAGUUAAAACUUUCAACAACGGAUCUCUUGGUUCUG
rnacentral:misc_RNA from 1 species